CCCGGAGCUGUGUUGCAUUGCGUUUUAUUGUAUUCAGCAGCUCUUCCCUCCGAUUUAUUUAUUUAUUUUUAAACUAAAGGACAUUUGUUGCAACAGAAUAAACUUUUCAUUACGAAAAGCUUAAACUUCCCAAAGAAGACCAUAGUCCCUGUUGGUGCAUUUGUCGAAGCCAAACCCACCUGGGGUGGAAGUAGGAAUAACCCGGUGAAAUCACGAAACAAAAAUUUAGGUGUUCCGGAUGAAAAGAGAGCAAUGUGACGAUGAGGCGCUGUUUUAAGUUGCGGACUUUGAACAAAGUCACAGUGACUCCUUGUGCCUGUGCAGCUGGAGUGGACAAAAUCCCACCGACCGCAGGCCACGUCCGCUAACCAGCAGAAAGAAGACGGACGACACGGUGUACAGGGUUGUCUCCCCCCACAUUUCUCUGACUUUUCUAGGACGGUUUCACAGUACUUUCACUAUUUCUUUACAUUCCCCUCUUUUAUUUCAGCAACAACUAGACCACGGUUUCUCUGGUUGCUUUAUACAACUGCAGGAAACACCAGCAAUUAGAAGGCCUGUAGAGAUGCUGGCUGAACCCUGGGUGAAAUUUCCAGCAGCUUUGGAUAUCUUUCGAUUUCCACUGUGGGGUAAAGCUUUGCACUGUCACUUUGUUGGCCGAGCAUUACCAAAAGGCAGAGGGCUAUGACCAUGCUCCUCCUGCAGUCUUCAGCAUUACAAGUCCCAGAUGGCUUUUUGUCUGCCUUGUGCUUCCAGAGCAACAGCAAACAAGUGGAAGAAGGGACCAGAUAUUCUACCACCAUUUUUCUGAAGAUUAAGCUGAAUAAAAAGUUCCAAAUACUUGUACAAAAGAUGUCUUAGAGAUUAGGAAGUGGCAAUUUAAAACAGAGACAUAUAAUGAAGUGUGCAGUAUCAAAUAGGAUUUUACUCCUGUCAUUCCAGACUUCCUCAGAGUGACAAAAUAGAGUUUGUUUCUGUCUUUCAUUCUCCAAACAUUUUGAAUGUAUCUCCUCAUAGAGUAAAAAUGUUCUUUUUAUGCCCUA